UCGACGAUGAUGCUGAAGUUUACUUUGGUGGAUUAGUGGCGAACGGGUGAGUAACACGUGAGCAACGUGCCCAGAACUCUGGAAUAACUCUCGGAAACGGGGGCUAAUACUGGAUAGGUGCCACGGCCGCAUGGUCUGUGGUUGGAAAGAUUUAUCGGUUCUGGAUCGGCUCACGGCCUAUCAGCUUGUUGGUGGGGUAAUGGCCUACCAAGGCGACGACGGGUAGCCGGCCUGAGAGGGUGACCGGCCACACUGGGACUGAGAUACGGCCCAGACUCCUACGGGAGGCAGCAGUGGGGAAUAUUGCACAAUGGGCGCAAGCCUGAUGCAGCAACGCCGCGUGAGGGAUGACGGCCUUCGGGUUGUAAACCUCUUUUAGUAGGGAAGAAGCGCAAGUGACGGUACCUGCAGAAAAAGCACCGGCUAACUACGUGCCAGCAGCCGCGGUAAUACGUAGGGUGCAAGCGUUGUCCGGAAUUAUUGGGCGUAAAGAGCUCGUAGGCGGUUUGUCGCGUCUGCUGUGAAAGCCCGGGGCUCA
rnacentral:rRNA from 1 species